rnacentral:rRNA from 1 species
AUGCCGCGCUGGGUCGACAACUACCUGGACAAGCUCGGAUCAGUGCUCAAGAAAGGUGGCUGGAGGGACAGGGAGGUGGACGAGAUGGUCGAGGUGGCCGCCUCGGGAAUGUUCGACGGCGAGGAGGCUCCGCCAGCCGCAGACGCGGAGGCCGUGCUCGACACACUGCUGCUGAAGACAGACCGGUGCUCAGAGUCCCUCAGGCGAGCCGGGCGCGGCCACGGCCACGGUCACCGGGAGCUGGUGGUGGGCACGAUGGGCAGUGGAAGCUCCGGCGCGCUCAAAGUGUUCAACGACACGAGAUGCCAAACCUGA